AACGAACGUUGGCGGCGUGGAUUAGGCAUGCAAGUCGAACGUGAAAGUACCGACGUAGCAAUACGAAGGUGCGAGUAAAGUGGCGAACGGGUGAGUAACGCGUGGGAAACCUGCUCCAGAGUGGGGGAUAACAGUUCUAACGGACUGCUAAUACCGCAUGACGCUACGGGUCGAUGACUUCGUAGUUGAAGGAGGCCUCUGUUUCAAGCUUUCGCUCCGGAAUGGUCCCGCGUCCUAUUAGCUUGUUGGUGGGGUAACGGCCUACCAAGGCAACGAUGGGUAGCCGGCCUGAGAGGGUGGUCGGCCACACUGGGACUGAGAUACGGCCCAGACUCCUACGGGUGGCUG
rnacentral:rRNA from 1 species